rnacentral:snRNA from 1 species
GUGCUCACUUUGGCAGCAUGUAUAAUAAAAUUGGAACGAUACAGAGAUUAGCAUGGCGCCUUCGCAAGGAUGACACAAAUUCGUGAAGUGUUCCAUAUUUUU